GAGGUCAGUCAUGUCUCCAAGUUCUCCUGGAGUAGUUUCUACUAUUUAAUAAGCAGGCCUAGGAAAGACUAUCCACCAUUACUGCGAUUUGUUGUCUGAAACAGUGAAUGAAGAUGGCAUCUCCCGCCUGUAUGAAGCUUUUCAAGAAGUGCCUUUGAAAUCUGACAGGACCAGAAGGUACAUCCUCAAUAGACAUUACAAAUGGUUGCAGAAACUUGGAAAUCUCGUGUCAGGUUCUGCAUUCGACUAGGGAACCAGGACCAACACAGAAGACCUCUUCAUCCUGCUAUGCAGCGUCCGGGCAGGGGAGCCUGGUCUUCCCUGCUGUUUCUGCGGCUACAUGAGAAGGUUUCUCGUUGGAGAUGGAGGGGCUAAAUCUGGGAGGAAAAGAUCUGUUUUUUCCAGCAAUAUGUUCACCAGCAAAGCCCAGCAGCAGUGAGAUCCUCUUCCUGAGCCCAUCCCCCAGCGCUGCCAGCCUCGGGCAGCCACACAGCAGGGAGACUGACUGCUUAGAAGGAAGUUUACGGCUGUGGAACCAGCUUGCCUUACACACUCGUGAUAAUGGAUCUCAUCACUGUCUGAGUCAAGCUCUGUGACAAUACUGCAUCCGAUUGCUCCGGAUGUGACCGGCUGCUUCCCCAGCAGCAUCUCUGCCCAGCACACCUUUCCCAUCGCAGCUGCAGCUCCUGGGCUGGUCCCAGAUGGCCACUCCCCAGAUUCACUGUUGAAUCUCAGCUCAGAGCCACUCUGCUGCAAUAGACUCCUGGCUGCACUGCCCAGCCACAUGGACCAGCCGCAGAACGAAGGAGUGUGACUGAUGGCUACAAAGCUCCAGCCAUGGAUUCUCCAGCCAACGGGAGCAGCGCCAGCCUUCCCCUUAAAGAAAAUCAUUUCAGCUCACACCAUCCAGCUGCAAGAAUGUAUGAAUCCCCCAGAGCAAAAUGCAUUAAAUCAAUGCCACAUUGCACCCAGCUGUAGGGCAGCCCGUGUAACCAGCCAUAUCCCCGGCAUGCGCGCCACUCUCACCACAGCUGGAGCUCCAGGCCUGGUGUCGCAGCACUUAGGAUGCUCUGGGAGGGAGGUGGAGGA